AAAAAAGUCUUGUCUGGAAUGCAGUCCCCACAAUUUUCUCCAUUCCAAAUCCACCAUGCAAGGUAACUUCUUCAAGAAAGCGACCAAUGGACAGAAUAUCCAAACCUACCUCUGCAAAGCAGCCCAGGAUUUAACAGAAAGCUGUAGUCUUGCAAGAAGAACAAGCAGAUAUUGCAGUUGAGCCUUCAUGCUCUAUAACUGUGCCAG